rnacentral:rRNA from 1 species
ACGAACGCUGGCGGCGUGCCUAAUACAUGCAAGUUGAGCGCUGAAGGUUGGUACUUGUACCAACUGGAUGAGCAGCGAACGGGUGAGUAACGCGUGGGGAAUCUGCCUUUGAGCGGGGGACAACAUUUGGAAACGAAUGCUAAUACCGCAUAAAAACUUUAAACACAAGUUUUAAGUUUGAAAGAUGCAAUUGCAUCACUCAAAGAUGAUCCCGCGUUGUAUUAGCUAGUUGGUGAGGUAAAGGCUCACCAAGGCGAUGAUACAUAGCCGACCUGAGAGGGUGAUCGGCCACAUUGGGACUGAGACACGGCCCAAACUCCUACGGGAGGCAGCAGUAGGGAAUCUUCGGCAAUGGACGAAAGUCUGACCGAGCAACGCCGCGUGAGGGAAGAAGGUUUUCGGAUCGUAGAACUCUGUUGGUAGAGAAGAACGUUGGUGAGAGUGGAAAGCUCAUCAAGUGACGGUAACUACCCAGAAAGGGACGGCUAACUACGUG